GAUGAAGAACGUAGCGAAAUGCGAUACUUGGUGUGAAUUGCAGAAUUCAGUGAAUCAUCGAAUCUUUGAACGCACAUUGCGCCCGCCAGUAUUCUGGCGGGCAUGCCUGUCCGAGCGUCAUUUCAACCCUCGAACCCCUCCGGGGGGUCGGCGUUGGGGAUCGGCCCUUUACCGGCCGGCCCCGAAAUACAGUGGCGGUCUCGCCGCAGCCUCUCCUGCGCAGUAGUUUGCACACUCGCACCGGGAGCGCGGCGCAGUCCAAUGCCGUAAAACACCCAACUUUCUGAAAUGUUGACCUCGGAUCAGGUAGGAAUACCCGCUGAACUUAAGCAUAUCAAUAAGCGGAGGA
rnacentral:misc_RNA from 1 species